rnacentral:lncRNA from 10 species
CAAAUGCUGGAGUUGAAGGUACAGAGCCAAAGUGAGGGGUAGGUGCAGAAACCAAAACACCAGGGUGAUCAUAUAUUGAAAAUAAGUACAACGAAAGGGGCAGAGACUGUGUGCCUUUUUUAUGGCCCCUCAACUAUCCUAUUUUAAUUCUGGCUUGGAAAAGAACUCAUUCCUUGGAUGGUUACACAGGGGUGUCAUUGAGAUCUGGUAUCAACCCAGGCCAUGGAGCUGAAUGGAGAAGAAAUGCCUUCCAUCCCUUCCAACCAUUUGGCUUCUCCAGUCCCUCACCUCAAGCAAACCUCAUCAAGGUUUUCCGAUUUCCAGACCCAGGUCCUGAGCAACUAUGUAAAUGCAAACAAACACUGGUGAUGACUGUAAGGCCAUCAAACUCCAAACAGUCAUGCAACCAGAGCCUCUGAAGAUGGCCCCUUCUGCCGGGAACCCUUAGAUCAGCCUCUGAGGGAGUUCUGCCAUUUCCCCAAAACAGCGCCCCCUGUCAGCAGGAAGCGGUUAAGAUCAGUCUUCAUCCUUAUCCUUAAUCUAACCACAGUUAGAUGUACUUCUUUAGAGGGGGGAAUGAGACAGCCAGUGGGAGGGGAUUCCUGGAGAAACUCCAAGCAGCCUGCGCACUGGGGUGGAGCCUUGGGAAGUUCACACGAUUUGAAGCAGGGAGGAGCCUGCCUCGUCGUCUUCCUGUGUGGACCUGGGAUUCAAACGCCAGGCAGGUGUUUCCCCCACCCGUUUUUCUCCCUUUUCACCCAAUAAAACCCUAUUUUGCUCACCCUUUAAACUGUCUGUGAGGCUAAAUUUUUGUGGCCUUGGGAUGGACAAGAACCCAGUCUUUAGCUGAACUAAGAAAAGUCCUACAAUACCAGGGAGGUUUACAUUUAUCAAUAAGAACAUAAAAACAUAUGGGCAGUAAUAAAAUAAAUUUCAACAUGCCAACUAUAACCACCGAUUGUUUGUAUUCUGCAGGAGAAGAGCACAAGAAGAAAUGAGCUUAAUUACAGCAUAAACAAUUUUAGUCAUAUAUUAAAUAGGUUCCUGAUACUAAGCUCUUAAAAUGGAUAUAAACAAGAUGUGGUAGAAUUUGAAAAAUAGGUUAC